rnacentral:rRNA from 1 species
GACAGAGGGUGCAAACGUUGUUCGGAAUUACUGGGCGUAAAGCGCGUGUAGGCGGCCCGGUAAGUCCGCUGUGAAAGUCGGGGCUCAACCCUCGAAUGCCGGUGGAUACUGUCGGGCUAGAGUGCGGAAGAGGCGAGUGGAAUUCCUGGUGUAGCGGUGAAAUGCGCAGAUAUCAGGAGGAACACCAAUUGCGAAGGCAGCUCGCUGGACGUUACUGACGCUGGAGACGCGAAAGCGUGGGGAGCAAACAGG